rnacentral:rRNA from 1 species
UACGUAGGGACCUAGCGUUGUCCGGAAUCAUUGGGCGUAAAGCGCGCGUAGGCGGCCCGGUAAGUCCGUUGUAAAAGUCGAAGGCUCAACCUUCGAAAGCCGAUGGAUACUGCCGGGCUAGAGUACGGAAGAGGCGAGUAGAAUUCCUGGUGUAGCGGUGGAAUGCGCAGAUAUCAGGAGGAAUACCCAUAGCGAAGGCAGCUCGCUGGGACGGUACUGACGCUGAGGCGCGAAAGCGUGGGGAGCAAACAGG